rnacentral:rRNA from 1 species
CUGGAAGAUGGCCUCGCGUCUGAUUAGCUAGUUGGUGAGGUAACGGCCCACCAAGGCGACGAUCAGUAGCCGGACUGAGAGGUUGGCCGGCCACAUUGGGACUGAGAUACGGCCCAGACUCCUACGGAAGGCAGCAG